rnacentral:tRNA from 17 species
GGGCGAUUAGCUCAGUGGGAGAGCGCUUCCUUGACACGGAAGAGGUCACUGGUUCAAUCCCAGUAUCGCCCACCA